rnacentral:rRNA from 1 species
ACCCGCACAAGCGGUGGAGCAUGUGGUUUAAUUAGAAGCAACGGGAAGAACCUUACCUAAACUUGACAUCCUUUUGACCGGAGGGUAAUGCCUCCCUCACUAGCUUGUUAGUGCAAAAGUGACAGGUGGUGCAUGGUUGUCGUCAGCUCGUGUCGUGAGAUGUUGGGUUAAGUCCCGCAACGAGCGCAACCCCUAUCUUUAGUAGCCAUCAUUAAGUUGGGCACUCUAGAGAGACUGCCAGGGAUAACCUGGAGGAAGGUGGGGAUGACGUCAAAUCAUCAUGCCCCUUAUGUUUAGGGCUACACACGUGCUACAAUGGGUGCUACAAAGGGAAGCAAAUCCGCGAGGCCGAGCAAAUCUCAAAAAAGCACUCCCAGUUCGGAUUGUAGUCUGCAACUCGACUACAUGAAGUUGGAAUCGCUAGUAAUCGCGAAUCAGAAUGUCGCGGUGAAUACGUUCCCGGGUCUUGUACACACCGCCCGUCACACCAUGGGAGUUGGGGGGGCCCAACGCCAGUGACCUAACCCGUAAGGGAAGGAGCUGUCUAAGGCAAAACCAAUGACUGGGGUGAAGUCGUAACAAGGUAGCCGUA